rnacentral:rRNA from 1 species
GACGAACGCUGGCGGCGUGCUUAACACAUGCAAGUCGAACGCUGAAGCUUGGUGCUUGCACUGGGUGGAUGAGUGGCGAACGGGUGAGUAAUACGUGAGUAACCUGCCCUUGACUCUGGGAUAAGCCUGGGAAACUGGGUCUAAUACUGGAUAUGACAUGCCACUGCAUGGUGGUGUGUGGAAAGGGUUUUACUGGUUUUGGAUGGGCUCACGGCCUAUCAGCUUGUUGGUGGGGUAAUGGCCUACCAAGGCGACGACGGGUAGCCGGCCUGAGAGGGUGACCGGCCACACUGGGACUGAGACACGGCCCAGACUCCUACGGGAGGCAGCAGUGGGGAAUAUUGCACAAUGGGCGAAAGCCUGAUGCAGCGACGCCGCGUGAGGGAUGACGGCCUUCGGGUUGUAAACCUCUUUCAGCACGGAAGAAGCGAAAGUGACGGUACGUGCAGAAGAAGCGCCGGCUAACUACGUG